ACGUAGUUUGAUCCGUGGCUCAGGAUGAACGCUGGCGGUGCGCCUAAUACAUGCAAGUCGAGCGAGACGUAGUUUUAAGUUUACUUGAGACUUUGAAAGCGGCGGACGAGCGAGUAACACGUAAGAACCUGCCCUGUACUCAGGGAUAACUCGGUGAAAGCCGAGCUAAUACCGGAUGGUCUCGAAAGAGUAAAGAUUUAUCGGUACGGGAGGGGCUUGCGGACUAUCAGCUAGUUGGUGGGGUAAUAGCCCACCAAGGCUAUGACGGAUAGCUGGUGUGAGAGCAUGACCAGCCGCGAUGGGACUGAGACACCGGCCCAUACUCCGUACGGGAGGCAGCAGUAAGGAAUCUUCCGCAAUGGACGAAAGUCUGACGGAGCGACACCGCGUGGUGGAUGAAGGCCCAUGGGUCGUAAACACCUUUCUAUGGGAAGAAGAUCUGACGGUACCAUAGGAAUAAGGACCGGCUAAUUACGUG
rnacentral:rRNA from 1 species